CCAGAUAAAAAUAAAAUGGCGUCGGAGCAAAGGCGUAAAUUCCAGCAGCCAGGACUUUGCUGGAGCACGAAAUAAUACCCAAAAUGGCGUCGUCGAGUCCGAGGAAUUUUGAGAAAAAAGAUAGGGAAAAUGAGAGCAACAAAAAAGAAAACCUUACCCAGACUGCCGGUAACAAGUUGAAAUGUGGAAAAGAAACUGUACUGCAUUGCGUCGAAUCCAAACUUGUACCGUACAUAAAAGUAAACGACGUUAAAUUCGCCUGAAACGAAAACGUCAAAUAUAAUUUCGAAAUUUUCAUUUA